rnacentral:rRNA from 1 species
UACGUAGGGUGCGAGCGUUGUCCGGAGUUACUGGGCGUAAAGAGCUCGUAGGUGGUUUGUCGCGUUGUUCGUGAAAACCGGGGGCUUAACCCUCGGCGUGCGGGCGAUACGGGCAGACUUGAGUACUGCAGGGGAGACUGGAAUUCCUGGUGUAGCGGUGGAAUGCGCAGAUAUCAGGAGGAACACCGGUGGCGAAGGCAGCACUCUGGGACGUGACUGACGCUGAGACGCGAAAGCGUGGGGAGCAAACAGG